rnacentral:rRNA from 1 species
AGGACGAACGCUGGCGGCGCGCUUAACACAUGCAAGUCGAGCGAGAACCGGGACUUCGGUCCCGGGGACAGCGGCGAACGGGUGAGUAACACGUGGGUAAUCAACCCUCGGCACCGGGAUAGCCCGAGGAAACUCGGAUUAAUACCGGAUAGCCCCUCCGACUCUCGAGUCGGUCGGGAAAGGUAGCUUAGGCCUCUGGCCGGGGACGAGCCCGCGGCGGAUUAGCUUGUUGGUGGGGUAAUGGCCUACCAAGGCAACGAUCCGUAGCUGGUCUGAGAGGACGAUCAGCCACACUGGGACUGAGACACGGCCCAGACUCUUACGGGAGGCAGCAGUGGGGAAUCUUGCGCAAUGGGCGAAAGCCUGACGCAGCGACGCCGCGUGAGGGAAGAAGGCCUUCGGGUUGUAAACCUCUUUCAGGAGGGACGAAGCUACUCGGGUGAAUAGCCCAGAGGGUGACGGUACCUCCAGAAGAAGCCCGGCUAACUACGUGCCAGCAGCCGC